UUCCUCUCAGGGUCGCACCUAGAGAGUUUCCAGUACUCUACCAGUCUUGACUACAGGAGGGAGAGUCAAGCAGAGGCCUAUCCAUUCCAUUUGUAGCUUGGGCAGUGGCUAGCGAGUGGAAGGCAAUCCGCUACAAGU
rnacentral:snoRNA from 1 species